rnacentral:misc_RNA from 1 species
CAGAGUUCAUGCCCGAGAGGGUAGACCUCCCACCCUUGUGUAUUAUUACUUUGUUGCUUUGGCGAGCUGCUCUUCGGGGCCUUGUAUGCUCGCCAGAGAAUAUCAAAACUCUUUUUAUUAAUGUCGUCUGAGUACUAUAUAAUAGUUAAAACUUUCAACAACGGAUCUCUUGGUUCUGGCAUCGAUGGAGAACGCAGCGAAAUGCGAUAAGUAAUGUGAAUUGCAGAAUUCAGUGAAUCAUCGAAUCUUUGAACGCACAUUGCGCCCCUUGGUAUUCCGGGGGGCAUGCCUGUUCGAGCAUCGGCAUCUUGGUCAUUUAGAGGAAGUAAAAGUCGUAACAAGGUUUCCGUAGGUGAACCUGCGGAAGGAUCAUUAACGAGUUUUAAUUGUUAGGUUAGAGUUGAGCUGGUUAAUCUAAUUAAUAUGUGCUUACUCUAAUCGAAACAAGUCCACUCAUCACUUAACACUUGUGAACUUAUUCAUUACAAACAUUAUUAUUUGUUAUUGGAACGUUUGAUUAUUAAAAAGUUAAUA